rnacentral:lncRNA from 1 species
UGAAAUCCGUGUCUGAGUGGUUUUCUCUUCUAGAAGCAUGCAAGAAGAAUCCUAGCCUGCCCUACACUGCUAAGAAGAUCUUAAACUCAGGCAACAAUCUUAUGCUUUAAAGAAGUCUCAUGAAGAAGCCACAGGUUCAGCUCCAGAGCCAAAUAAUCCUGUUAUACUAAUGCAGAUAUUACAGCUUCCAUACACUCUCUCUAUGGUACUUUGCUCUCUAGUUCUCCCUUCCUCCUGUGCCAAACGAAGAACCAUAGGGUUAGAAGGGACCUCGAGUGGGUGUCUAGACUAUUUUCCUGUCUUGGUACCAAACAGAAGCCUAUCUGCAAGGCUAUCUGCAAGAAGAGGGUUUAAGGAAUAAAACAGUAAACACAGAACAGCAGAGCAAGUAUUGCAGAGAAAGAGAGAGAGCGUGAGCAGAUCCAGCAAAGGUGCAUUUAUUUAGAAGAACAUGAGACACGAACUUUCAGCAAAGCCUGUUUGAACAUGCAGGUGAGCACAUUUCAGCAUGAACAGGCUUAGAACGGAAGCCUGGUAUGGGUAGCAAAAGCAGCUCCUGAAUGUACUGUCUUCCCUGGUUAGGUUAUAUACAAAAAGACUGAAUGAGCUCACUAGCUUUAUAAUAGGUGGCCAUGGCCACACCCAGCAGUCUCCUCUACUAACCCUGGCAAGCACUGGCUCCUGGUGGGAAAACACACUAUGGAUGAGGAGGGGACAGGCAGGCUGGGGUAAGCAAAAGCUGCUUUUUCUCUCUCCUUACCAUGAACUUUGGGUUAGCUGAACCAUGCCAGGCAGAGGAAGGCUAUGGCAAGUGUCUAUUAGGAAGCUGCAACUGGGGAUGGAUGUUUGGCUCUGGUUUGAUGCCUUCAUUCACUCAGAGAUGAUGAGACCUCAUGGAGUUAUCUGCUGUCAUUGCCCAUUCCGUGCUGUUGCCCCAAAGGAGGAGGGAACCAAGAGAGCCCCACUUCAGAGUAACCUACAGCUCACAGGCUCAGGCACAGACCCGGCAGCAGGAGGAAAGAAGCCUCCAGAGGAGGAAAGCAGCCUCUGCCCACUUCAGCUCGCAGCUGGAAGGAAGAAUGAAUGAGUCCUCUUAGCGGGAACUGAACAUUAUGAAGCACUUAGAAGAGCGGAUCUGAACCCAUUUUGGUGUGGCGCAGAGGUUCCUGGCAU